AACGAACGCUGGCGGCAUGCCUAACACAUGCAAGUCGAACGAACCCUUCGGGGUGAGUGGCGCACGGGUGCGUAACGCGUGGGAACCUGCCUUGAGGUUUGGAACAACAGUGAGAAAUCGCUGCUAAUACCAAAUAAUGUCUUCGGACCAAAGAUUUAUCGCCUUUAGAUGGGCCCGCGUUAGAUUAGCUAGUUGGUGAGGUAACUGCUCACCAAGGCGACGAUCUAUAGCUGGUCUUAGAGGAUGAUCAGCCACACUGGGACUGAGACACGGCCCAGACUCCUACGGGAGGCAGCAGUGGGGAAUAUUGGACAAUGGGCGAAAGCCUGAUCCAGCAAUGCCGCGUGAGUGAUGAAGGCCUUAGGGUUGUAAAGCUCUUUUACCAGGGAUGAUAAUGACAGUACCUGGAGAAUAAGCUCCGGCUAACUCCG
rnacentral:rRNA from 1 species